rnacentral:rRNA from 1 species
GAGCGAACGCUGGCGGCAGGCCUAACACAUGCAAGUCGAACGAACCUUUCGGGGUUAGUGGCGGACGGGUGAGUAACACGUGGGAACGUGCCUUUAGGUUCGGAAUAACUCAGGGAAACUUGUGCUAAUACCGAAUGUGCCCUUCGGGGGAAAGAUUAAUCGCCUUUAGAGCGGCCCGCGUCUGAUUAGCUAGUUGGUUGAGGUAAUGGCUCACCAAGGCGACGAUCAGUAGCUGGUCUGAGAGGAUGAUCAGCCACAUUGGGACUGAGGCACGGCCCAAACUCCUACGGGAGGCAGCAGUGGGGAAUCUUGCGCAAUGGGCGAAAGCCUGACGCAGCCAUGCCGCGUGAAUGAUGAAGGUCUUAGGAUUGUAAAAUUCUUUCACCGGGGACGAUAAUGACGGUACCCGGAGAAGAAGCCCCGGCUAACUUCGUG